CUUGCAUCUCCUACUUAUUACAACAUCUCAUUUCUGGUCUUCAAAUUCAAUUGCUUGAUGAUCAAUGGCUCCAUGUUCAACCCUCAACCCAUUGCUCCUUCAUUGUCAUGGCUGGCGAUGUACUCAUGACGUUCCAUCGAGGUUCGACCUCAAGAACGAAGUCUGCAUCUUCUACUUCUAACUCUAGAAAGAGGAAGAAGAAGAAGAAGGAUGGUAAGGGGAAAGGGAAAGCACAUGCUAACCCGCCACCUAUCGCCCAGAGGAGGCGUCUGUCGCCGGUUGAAAAAGGAAAAUAUUUCUACUGCAACCAGGAUGAACACUGGAAGAGAAAUUGUCCUCGCUAUCUGAAUAAAAGGAAGGCCGCCAAGGCUAAGGCCAAGGCGAACAAAGGUAAAUGUGAUGUAUUUGUCCUAGAAAUUUAUUUAGUGGAGAAUGAUUAUUCUGUCUAGAUAAUUGAUUCGGAUGUCACUAAUCACGUUUAUUCUUCUUUUUAGAAGAUUAAAUUCUGGUGGCAGCUGGAGGUUGGUGAUGUUGGGGUUGAUGCCCUAAAGUCUUGUGUUCUGUAGUUUGUAAACAGUUUGUACGAAUGCUUGUGUUGUAUAAUAUAUGAUAUUUUACUUCGCA